rfam:Anolis carolinensis chromosome 2, whole genome shotgun sequence.
ACUUUGGAUUUUUUAAAAUCCCUUAAGAGUUCCUAAAAUAUGUUUU